GCUGGGCUUAAGCACACAUGAACGAUCUGUUUAUCAGGAUUAGGUUCAUUUGCUUAUGCUUUAGCAUAACCAACAUAGAAGCUUAUUUCUCUCACAUAAAUCCAAGCCAAAGAGCUCACAGGGCGGCUCUGUGAUAACAGGGACUCAGGCUCCUUCUAGUUUGUUUCUCUGCCAUCCUCAGUACAUGACUUUCACCUCAUGGUCCAGGGUGGCUGCUCCCACUCCAGCUAUCACAUAUGUAUUCUAGACCAGUGGCUGACAAAUCAAAGCCCAUAGGCCAAAUCCCAUCUUCCACCUGUUUUAAUAAAUAAGGUUUUAUUGGAAUAUAACCACACCUAUUUGUUCACAUAUAGUCUAUGGCUGCUUUCACAGUUUAAUAACAGAGUUGACUAGUUGCAACAAAGACCAUAUGGCCCACAAAGCUGAAAAUAUUUACUAUCUGGCCCUUUACAGAAAAAGUUUGCCAACUCCUAUUCUAGAUGACAAAAAUAAAGACAAAGAAGAUCACAGUACCCCAGGCCGUUUCCCCAAAGUCACAUAUGAAAUUUCUGCUUAUAUUUUAUUGCCAGAAUUUAUUCUUAUAACCAUACCUAGCUACAGGGAAGACUGAGAAAUGUGGUCUUUAUUUUAGAUGGCCAUGUGCCCAGAUAAAAUUCAGGGUUAUCUUUCUAUGGAAGAAGAGGAAAAGGAAUCUGAGGAGUCAAAUUGUCCUCCAAGGACCAUUCUGGUGCCUUAGACUCAGGACAGAGACAGGAUUAAUGGCUAACUCUGUCCCUUCCCUAGGUCCACAGACUGCCUCUGUCCCUCUGGGUUCUACCGCUCAGUCAGGGUUCAUGGAAACAGAACCAAGCAAAGUCGAGUCCCUCCCCCUAAUGACUACAGUAGAGCUGGCCCAAGCAAGAGAUCCACGUGGGAAGGACAAAAAGCAAUGCAAACAGAGAUGGGUUAAGAGACAGAAGCAGCACAUAUGCCAUUGACCAGCAUUCCUCCCAAUUGCUAUUUUCCUGCCACCAAAAAAAAAAAAAAAGAAGAAGAAGAAGAAGAAGAAAAGAAAAAAAGGUAAGGAUUUGUCUAAGACUUGAGAAGGGAAGGCAAGCUCAGAAUACAUGUCCUAGCACUUCUCUUGUCUAAAGGUUUUGUCCAACUGUCCUACUCUGGUUUCUCAAGCCAUCCCUCUAACAACCAAUGAGCUUUCUUCUACAUUUUCAGGACUUUGAAAUGAACAAAGAAAUGUAAGCAGAAGUGAUGUCUGUCAUACCUGGGUGGAAACUUUAAAAGUUAAUCCACAGCUUGUUCC
rnacentral:lncRNA from 1 species